UACGCCAUUCAAUUGACGUUACCCGCAGAAGAAGCACCGGCUAACUCCGUGCCAGCAGCCGCGGUAAUACGAGGUGCAAGCGUUAAUCGGAAUUACUGGGCGUAAAGCGCACGCAGGCGGUCUGUUAAGUCAGAUGUGAAAUCCCCGGGCUCAACCCGGGAACUGCAUUUGAAACUGGCAGGCUUGAGUCUCGUAGAGGGGGUGGAAUUCCAGGUGUAGCGGUGAAAUGCGUAGAGAUCUGGAGGAAUACCGGUGGCGAAGGCGGCCCCCUGGACGAAGACUGACGCUCAGGUGCGAAAGCGUGGGGAGCAAACAGGAUUAGAUACCCUGGUAGUCCACGCCGUAAACGAUGUCGACGUUGGAGGUUGUUCCCCUUGAGGAGUGGCUUCCGGAGCUAACGCGUUAAGUCGACCGCCUGGGGAGUACGGCCGCAAGGUUA
rnacentral:rRNA from 1 species